rnacentral:lncRNA from 1 species
CAACUCUUGCUUCUUUAUCUGCUUCUCCUCUCCUUAGUCUCUCUCCCGGAUGCAGCCAGCUGCCAAUGUGCCGAAGUUCGGAGUGGUUCUCUCAUUGAAGGACAACAGAUCUCUCAAAUAACGGAUGAUUUACUGACAGUCUUGCUGAGUCUCGUGCAUGGAAAGAUGGACUGGGGUCGAAAGGACUAAACUGGAAGCAGCAUCAGGUGGAGAAGGUGGCAUCACCAGACAUCACCAGCUGUCACUAAGCCUUGAAGACAUCCAGCUCUUUGUUCAACAGACACUGACGGAAAAUUCCUGUGGACAGAUGGAACGAAAGGAAAUCAAGUAUAGACAUAAACAGCACUUGUCAUUUGAAGUCUGCAUUUGUAAGGAUUGUUGUUGAGGUGAGGAGCCUGAGCUGAUGACUUCAAGUAAUUGAGGUUGCCAGGGUGAGGACCCAGGUUCAGAGGGGAUGGGAGCUGCAGAAACUCAGCAAGAAGUCACUAAGGUGGAGUUCAAGAUUAGUGCUGACAGCUGCCUUGAUGUACUAACCACAGAACCAACUUCUUCAACUUCCCUAAGUCCUGGUGAGGUUUGUGACUUAUAUUCUGUGCUCUUUCUGCCCAUGCAGAAUUCAUAGCCCAGACUAAAUACCUUCCUGGGACAGUUAAAUUGAAGGCAGUGAUUCUCCCCAAGUUGUGAUUGCUGUGGAAACAGGUGCCUCUCAGGGACCAGGAAAAUGCUGGAAGAGAUUUGGCAUCUUAUCUCCUGGAAAAUAAUUUUCCACUUUUACCUGUGCUUGUUAUUCCAAGUAACAUUUGCCAAAAGAGCACAUGCUGUGUGGCAGCAUCCUAUCACCUUUGCGUUGUGGCUGUUGCAAGCAACGUGUCUUCCAGCUUGUAUCUGUAUCUUUGCAGUUGGCACUUGUGGGCUGGGUUGAAGUGGGGGAUGCUCACUCUUUGAGGUUGAUUUUCUUCAUCUAGCCUUGUGUUUUCUUGCAGCUUCUUGAAAACACCCUGUUAUUUUCUGGGACUCCUCAUACGAGCACUGCCACCCUUAUUUAAAAGAAAGCCAGAAUCUUCAAGGCUUUAGCACUGGAAGGAACCUUUCAAGGAAGGACAACAGCUCUCCGAAUAGCCCCAUUCCCUGAGGUUCAUCUCGCUUUUGGGUUGAGGGGCUCUGUUUAGAUUCCCACUGCUGUCACCACGCUUCCUCCAGGAGGGAAUUGCAUCCCCUUUAAUCUGUUGGCUUGUGUAUGUGUGUUUGUGUGGACACAAAUAACUUUCUCUUGUUUUCCUUAGCACAGCUGAGAGAAGCUGAAACAUUAAAAAUAAACAAAGAAUCUAACAAAAUAGCGAGGAAAAG